AAAGAGGGAAAGGAGCAAUCGGAAUGCAUUCAGCUCUUUUGGGGAAAAGAUGUGUUGUGGAGUUAACAACCUCUGGCAGAACACAACACGCUAGUGUCACGCCUUGUUCUGGACCUCGCCGGGGGGGGACCGCCCCUAUACAAUGGAAAGGAAACACAGCACUCCGUGAUAGUUGAAGGCUCUAAGUUGCGUUUUACAAGUUCACCAUGAAGGAAGGUGGGAAGACUUCGGAAAGAAAAUCCUGGCUGAGGGGAAGUCCAGAGUUUAUUUAAUCUGAAGCCUCUUCAAACUCUAAGAUGAGUCCCUGGACAAGGACUCGUUCCUGACACCUUCUUCCUUCGUAAGUUGUUUGUUUGACUUCUGCAAAGCGACGGGGCAAAUGUAUCCUGUGCAGGGAGACCGGCCGGGUCUCGCCUGCCCCUUCUGCAGCCAGGGAAGGAAGCCUGUGCCCCCCUGGUCAGGAGGGACCACGGGCGGUGGGGAGAGCCGCCGUGCCCGAGGAACCAGCCCUGGACUGUGGCCAGUCCCACGGUCCCUCAGAUGUGGUGGGUCCUGCCCCAAACUCAAGUGUCCACAAAGGAGGAAGGGGCGCACAGUUACCAAACUUCCUGGGACCCUGGUGGGGCUCGAGUCAAGCAAUGCACGUGGAAGCAUUUUACAAAGGGCCGAAAGAAGCGGCCCAGCUUCGUGACUUUGAAGGAGCCUGCUUUGGAGGGGCUGGAAGGCCACGCAGAGAGGACAUUUAACAGGCGACCCAGAGAGCAAAGGAGCAACCCCGACGCUGCAGGAAAGCGUCCAGCGCAGGUAGAAGCACACUGCACAGAGGCCAGCUACCCUGGGUUUCCAGGCUCCCUGCGGUUGUGAGCUGCCAUGCCACUCGUUCUGUCCAAUGCAGUGUGAGUGACGGAUGCACCUGCAGCUCCCAGCGCUGGCCUGUAAGAGCCUCAUGCCCAUGUCCUUCCCUGAGAGUUCCCUUCCAACUGAUGGAGACGCAUAGAACGGAGUCCAGCUUGGAGCCUCGUGUCGUGGAAAUGCUGGUGGCACCAAGCCUACAUGCCUCCAACCUGGGGAGUCGUUACUGAGAAAGCAAUAAGCUUCAGCCCUCAGCCUCUGAGUGCUGGGAACGUGCUUAUUAUAGGCGUUUGCCCAAUCCUUACUUAGAGGGU
rnacentral:lncRNA from 1 species